AACAAGGGAAACCAAAAGAGACUGAUGCUAGGAUACAUGGGCUCUUCCAAUGAAAUUGGAGACGAAAAUGCAAAGUUUCCAUUUGUUAGCUUUGAAGAUAUCCUCGUGGCAACAGAUAAUUUUUCUGACUCAAACAUUGGAAAAGGGGGCUUUGGCAAAGUUUACAAGGGGAUACUGGAAGGUUUCAAGGAAGUUGCUAUCAAAAGGCUUAGCGUGGGUUCUCAGCAAGGGAUGGAGGAGUUUAAAAAUGAAGUAGUUUUAAUAGCGAAAUUGCAGCACAGAAGCCUAGUUAGACUUCUUGGUUGCUGCAUGCAUGGAGAUGAGAGGUUACUUAUUUACGAAUACCUACCUAACAAGAGCUUGGACUCCUUUCUUUUUGAUGCUACAAGACAAAAUUUACUUGAUUGGGUCAUACGCUUCAAGAUAAUUAAAGGGGUAGCGGGAGGACUUCUUUACCUUCACCAAGAUUCGAGAUUAACUAUAAUUCACAGAGAUCUGAAAUCAAGCAACAUCUUGUUGGAUUUGGAAAUGACUCCUAAAAUAUCUGGUUUUGGUAUGGCAAGGAUCUUUGGAGGAAACCAACAACAAGAAAAUACUACCCGGGUUGUUGGGACAUAUGGUUACAUGUCGCCUGAAUAUGUGAUGGGAGGUACUUUUUCUGUAAAAUCCACACCUAUAGCUUUGAUGUUAACUGUUCUCAUGGAGAUUGUCAGUGGCUUGAAGAUUACCUCACCGCAACUCGUAAUGAACUGUGCCAUUCUUACUACUUAUGCAUGGAGAUUAUGGGAUGGAAAAGCAACAGAACUUGUGCAAUCUUCGGCUAUCGAGAGUUGUCCACUUUAAGAAGUUCUAUGGUGUAUUCAUGUUUGUCUCCUAUGCGUUCAAAAUCACCCGGAUGAUAGGACAUCUAUGUCAACAGUGAUAUUCAUGUUAUAGAAUGAAAGUGCAUUGCUUCCUACCCCAAAGCAUCCUGCAUAUUUUGCUUUACAGGAUUUUGAAACUGAACAAUCAAGGGAAAACAGGAGAAAUUCUAUGAAUGCCAUAAGCAUCACAACACUAGAGGGUCGUUAG
rnacentral:rRNA from 1 species